AACGAACGCUGGCGGCAGGCUUAACACAUGCAAGUCGAGCGCCCCGCAAGGGGAGCGGCAGACGGGUGAGUAACGCGUGGGAAUCUACCCAUCUCUACGGAAUAACGCAUGGAAACGUGUGCUAAUACCGUAUACGUCCUUCGGGAGAAAGAUUUAUCGGAGAUGGAUGAGCCCGCGUUGGAUUAGCUAGUUGGUGGGGUAAAGGCCUACCAAGGCGACGAUCCAUAGCUGGUCUGAGAGGAUGAUCAGCCACACUGGGACUGAGACACGGCCCAGACUUCGACGGGAGGCAGCAGGGGGGAAUAUUGGACAAUGGGCGCAAGCCUGAUCCAGCCAUGCCGCGUGAGUGAUGAAGGCCCUAGGGUUGUAAAGCUCUUUCACCGGUGAAGAUAAUGACGGUAACCGGAGAAGAAGCCCCGGCUAACUUCGUGCCAGCCGCCGCGGUAACAC
rnacentral:rRNA from 1 species